ACGAACGCUGGCGGCAUGCCUAACACAUGCAAGUCGAACGCGACCUUCGGGUCUAGUGGCGCACGGGUGCGUAACGCGUGGGAACCUGCCCUUAGGUUCGGAAUAACUCCCCGAAAGGGGUGCUAAUACCGGAUAAUGUCUUCGGACCAAAGAUUUAUCGCCUUUGGAUGGGCCCGCGUUGGAUUAGCUAGUUGGUAGGGUAAAGCCUACCAAGGCGACGAUCCAUAGCUGGUCUGAGAGGAUGAUCAGCCACACUGGGACUGAGACACGGCCCAGACUCCUACGGGAGGCAGCAGUGGGGAAUAUUGGACAAUGGGCGAAAGCCUGAUCCAGCAAUGCCGCGUGAGUGAUGAAGGCCUUAGGGUUGUAAAGCUCUUUUACCCGGGAUGAUAAUGACAGUACCGGGAGAAUAAGCUCCGGCUAACUCCGUG
rnacentral:rRNA from 1 species